rnacentral:rRNA from 1 species
CAGCCGCCGCGGGAAUACGAAGGGGGCUAGCGUUGUUCGGAUUUACUGGGCGUAAAGGGCGCGUAGGCGGACUGAUAAGUCAGGGGUGAAAUCCCAAGGCUCAACCUUGGAACUGCCUUUGAUACUGUUUGUCUUGAGUUCGAGAGAGGUAAGUAGAACUGCGAGUGUAGAGGUGAAAUUCGUAGAUAUUCGCAAGAACACCAGUGGUGAAGGCGGCUUACUGGCUCGAAACUGACGCUGAGGCGCGAAAGCUAGGGGAGCAAACAGGAUUAGAUACCCGAGUAGUCCCUGUCUCUUAUAC